rnacentral:rRNA from 1 species
UACAGAGGGUGCAAGCGUUAAUCGGAAUUACUGGGCGUAAAGCGUGCGUAGACGGUUAUGUAAGUCGGGUGUGAAAGCCCCGGGCUCAACCUGGGAAUGCCAUUCGAGACUGCAUAGCUAGGGUGCGGAAGAGGGAAGCGGAAUUUCCGGUGUAGCGGUGAAAUGCGUAGAUAUCGGAAGGAACAUCAGUGGCGAAAGCGGCUUCCUGGACCAGUACCGACGUUCAGGCACGAAAGCGUGGGGAGCAAACAGG